rnacentral:pre_miRNA from 1 species
CGGAGAAGUAGACAUGGCGUGAUGUUGGUUCGGCUCAUCUUUCCCGAUCUUCGGAGGUCUCCUUGAGAAUGAGAGAUGAGCCGAAUCAAUAUCACUCUUGUAUGCUUUUCU